AUUUUAGCAUUGUGUUGUUCUACUUUAAUUAUAUUGAAAAAAAAUGAAACUUUUAACACGGUAUUGCAUGCAAUAUUGCAUUGUUCUAUCUCCUUAAUGAGCAAACUUGAAAAUAUUAUCUUGUUAUAUCUCCAAUCAACCAAUCAUAUUACAAUUACAAAGUUGUUCGGAAUAAUUUUAUCAGUUUUGUUGUUUUCAAAAUGGCAACUGCAAAUAUUGACCAAGAAAUGGAACCUGCCCUAAAUCAAAACGAAGCUGCGAACAAAUUCAAACUUUGACAUCGAUUUUCUCAGUUUGCAAAAACAUGGAGAU
rnacentral:misc_RNA from 1 species